UCAACGAUUCCUCUCGUACUAAGUUGAAUUGUUCACCCACCAAUAGGGAACGUGGGCUGGGUUUAAACUGUCGUGAGAUAGGUU
rnacentral:ncRNA from 1 species